rnacentral:rRNA from 1 species
AAGGGGGGCAACCCCCAAGUAGAGCGGCGAACGGGUGAGUAACACGUGGGUGAUCUUCCUUCGAGUGGGGAAUAACACCGGGAAACUGGUGCUAAUACCGCAUGACAUCCCUGGUUCAUUCCAGGGAUCAAAGCCGGGGACCGCAAGGCCUGGCGCUUGAAGAUGAGCCCGCGUCCGAUUAGCUAGUUGGCGGGGUAACGGCCCACCAAGGCUCCGAUCGGUAGCCGGCCUGAGAGGGCGGACGGCCACACUGGGACUGAGACACGGCCCAGACUCCUACGGGAGGCAGCAGUGGGGAAUUUUUCGCAAUGGGGGAAACCCUGACGAAGCAACGCCGCGUGGAGGAUGAAGGCCUUCGGG